AAAAACAAAAAAAAAACUCUCUUCCCCUCUCUCUCAGCCCUCAGGUCCGGCCAGGGUCCGGUCAUCAGCCACCGCGUCGGCCGCCGAUCUCUGGCGCUGGCACCACCGUCUGCAGUGGCCGGAAGAGGGGAAAAAACCCUAAUCGGUCUCUUCGACCGUUUUAAACCCAAAUCUGGGUUUGAAGCCCCGAAAAGCCAAUAGAAAACGUGAAAAAAAAAUCACGAAACCUUUCGGUUUUCGGCCACCGGUCCUUGGGGGUGGCUCCCUCAAUCACCUCGGCGUCGCUUCAGAAACAAAAAAAAAAGGUUGUUUCUUUCCCUUUUUUAUUCUUCUAUUAUUUGUUUGUAAAAAAAUAAAUAUAAUGGUAAAAAAAUAAGUAAAAAUUGCAAGUAUUAACCUUUGAUCGACUUUGCUCUCUGUUUUUGUGAAAAUAAUAUCCCUCUUUUUUAUUGAUCUGCCCAUCGGUCCUCUGUUACAGUGCAUUGAGAUUGCUUUUAUAGCAAUCGUGACAAAAAAGAAAAAGAAAGAAAUCUUUUUAGUAUCUGCUUGACAAGAUCUCUUUUUUCUUGUCAUAUUUGCUUUGUUUCCUUUCUCGAUGUGCAGGUACGAUCGGGUCUUGGCUGCGUGAGGAGCUAGGUGGCUGUGGCGCUUGAAGAUUUUGUUAGAAACUCUAGGGUUUCUGACUAUUGUUUUGGACCUGGUUAGUUCGGGCCUCUGUUUGGUUUGGGUCACUGUUUUGAAUUGGGCUAUGAAGGCCGAUUGUAAUUUAGGCCUUUUACCCGGGCCGAAAUCGGGUAUUAUACUAUAUGUAUGUAUUACUUCCAUUUUCCAAGAUGAUGUUUUUCUUUUUU
rnacentral:lncRNA from 1 species